UUUGUGUUUGGUUCCCACCACGCUAAGUAGUAGUGCCGCAGGUAUUUCGUGAGGAACUUUACCUGCGCAUUACUCCUUAAUGUGGAGGCUACCACGAACUAC
rnacentral:pre_miRNA from 1 species